CACUUCCGGUGCGUUUUACAAUGAACUCCGGGCACUCGAGUCGCUCCCCGGAAACUAUAGUUCUGCUUCCACCGUUGUCCUACUUUGGAUAGCAUCAAGACAAAAAUCUCAGUCUUCGAGGAACUCACAGUGUAGCAGAAAAGACAAAGGAGGUAAACAGGAGGAGCUGAUAGCCAGCAAGAAAACAGGGACUUCAGUUCUGCAACUGCAACCAACAACCGGAGUGAGCUUGGAAGCAGAUUCUUUCCAGAGCAUCUAAAGCAGUGAUCCAUGUUUUCAUUGGACUGUGAAAGAGCUACUUCUACUCUAAGGCCACAUUGCCUACAUGAAAUAAAUUAUUGUUAGGAAAUUGCCUUGAAAAGAGAAACAAGACCACAACUCUUAGAAGAAUUCUGAACUUGAGAUUGACAUAGAUCAGAAAGCCCAGAUGCUGUUGAUCCAUCUCACCAGGCAGCAAGAGUAAGGAUAGAAUAUCUGCCCUCCAAUUUCACAGUUCACUAAGAAAAGACUUCUACACUCCCUGGGCAGAACAAUUCCAUCUACGCGGCAUAGGGUUGCUUCUGGAGGACCUGACCUAAGAUUGGCAUCUUACUCAGUCCAGAAGGUCAGGGAAGACUUCUUGGAAGACAUGCCAUCUAAAACAAUGACUGAUGGAGGAAUGGAAUCAUCCAAGUGUACGGGGAGUGGAUGGAAGACAAGAGCAUUCUAGGAACCAAACAAGAUGCUCCACAACACCCAGAGUCUGGAACAUCCGCUACUACUCUAUUUCUGAAGGUGCCUUCAGAAGAUUACCACAGCCUUCAUCUUGUCAAGACCCCAAAAUGGUGGCUUUCAUCAUAAUCUUGCCCUUCAAACAUCGUCUCUCCCCCAAAAUGGCCCAUUUCUCUCUCAGAUGCACUUCUAGCUGAUUCCCACCUCUAUGCAUUUACUCAUUUGCCCCUUAGGCCAGUUUCUGUUUCUACAUGCAUCUUAAAAAAUUAAAACCUCCUUCUCUUCUCCCUUUCCCUAUGGAUGUGGGCUACAGUAGCUUGUUCCUACGUGCCCUUGGGCUCCUCCUGUAACUUCACGCUUUGCCUCUUUAAAUAGAUUGUUGGUCCCUCAGGGGAUGUUUUUAUGAUUCAUACUUAAAAACUGCUAACCACAAUGUAAGAACUUUCUCAUUUUUUCCCUCUUUACUGUUAAUUUAAAACUUUUGUUACCAUCACUUUUAUUUAAAAAUGAAAAAUAUAGAAAACAGAUGACAAAAAUAAAAAGAAGGAAAAAAGAACCCAUAACUGAAUUCAAAAUUCCAUAACCAUCAAUAGAAUUUUGAUAAAUCUUUUUCUAGACUCUACAUAUACUUUUCUGUCUUUCUUUUUAAAAAUUUUGUAAUCAUGAUCUAUGUACAAUUUAGUACCCUAUUUCUUUUGCUUGUUGUAUACAUAUUUACAUGUUGUAUAUUACAAUGCUUUUUCUAUUUUAUUUCACAUUCUUUUUAAAUACCAUGAAUGAAUUAGGCAAGAAGUUAUUGUCAGGAGGGCAUACUAAAAUGUCAAUGAAAGAAAGGUCAAGAAUGGCCUCUGUCUUCAGGUAGCUGAAAAUCUAUACGCAGCAUACUGGCUUUAGCACUGCUUUCAAAUCUCAACUCUACCACAUAUAAUCUGAAUAACUGUGGACAAAAUAUUUAAUUUCUCCAAGGCUUAGUUUGCCAUUCAUAAUGGAAGGAGUAUCAACCUUUGCCUCAUAGUGACAAAGAAGAAUUAGAGGACCUGGUGAAUGGGAAGUGUUGAGUCCAUUGCCUGGUACACGGUGAAGACUGAAAAAAUGUUAGCUGCAAAAAUCCUCAACAAAAUACUAGCAACCCAAAUCCAGUGGCACAACAAAAUUUAAUCUAUUACAAUCAAGUACACUUUAUUCCUGGGAAGCAAGGUUGGUUCAACGUACACAUAUCAAAAACCAUAUGAUCAUCUCAAUAGACGUAGGAAAAAAGGUUUUGAUAAGAUCCAACAUCCCUUCAUGAUAAAAACCCUCAACAAACUAGGCAGUGAAGGAACAUACGUGAAAAUAAUAAGCCAUCUUAUGCUUAUGCCAUCUAUGACAAACCCACAGCCAACAUCAUACUGAAUGGGCAAAAGCUGGAAGCAUUCUGCUUAAGAGCAGGAAUAAGACAAGCAUGUCAACUCUCACCAUUCCUGUUCAAUAUAGUACUAAAAGUCCUCGCCAGAGCACUCAAGCAAGAGAAAGAAAUAAAAGGCAUCCAAAUAGGAAAAGAAGUCAAAUUGUCUCUCUUUGCCGUUGAUAUAAUUCUAUACCUAGAAAACCCUAAAGACUAUGGUGAAAGACUCCUAGAACUGAUCUUCAGCAAAGUUUCCGAAUACAAAGUCAAUGUGCAAAAAUCAGUAGCAUUUCUAUACAAAGUGAGAGCUCCAUCAAGAACGACCCCAUUUACAACAGCUAGAAAAAAUGAAAUGCCUAGGAAUACAUCUAACCAAAGAGGUAAAAGAUCUCUACAAGGAAAACUACAAAACACUG
rnacentral:lncRNA from 1 species